AUGGGUAUUGCGUAUCCUCAUGUUCAUCAGCCAGAUAAAGUCAUAACUGUGGCACUUGGCAACACUGUGACUCUGCAGUGUUGUUCAGAUAAAGACAACAUAUAUUGGUAUAAGCAAAUUGCUGGACAACCACCUCGAGUCAUGUCAGCAUUUCAGAAAAUGUCAGAACCCAUAUUUUACAAAGAGUUUAAAAAUGAUCGAUUCUGGGGCAAGAGAUUGGGCAGCUCCUCCAAUCUAACAAUUUCAGGCAUCAUUCAGUCAGAUGAAGCAGUGUACUAUUGUGGAGCAAAAGCAUUUUAUAUUGAGUUUGGAAGUGGAACACAUCUGAUCAUUAAAGUUUCAGAAGAAAGGCUCUGUCCAGCAGUGCUUGGGUUGGCAUGUGCUUUGGGACUUUGUGGAGUUCUAAUCUUUGCUCUUGUGGGUUUUAUAUUUAAGAGAGUGCAAGUUUCUGGACAAGACAACGAAGUGAGAGGUGCUCAGAACACUGAUGAUGAGAAUUUGACAUAUGCAGCCUUGCGAUUCAGUCAGAGAAAAAUUAAAUCUGGAGGAAGGAGAGAAAAAUCUCAGCAGUGUGUGAGCAUAUGA